rnacentral:pre_miRNA from 9 species
UCUCGAUAGCGUAAAAGUUAACCCAAAUUAGUAUGGAGUGGGAAAGUUUGUUCACGUUUGCCGCUAGGGGCGCUGUUCCAACUGCAUACAAAUUUGAGUUAACUUUUACGCUAUCGA